UGUUUCGGCUAGGGGGCCAUCCCGGCUUACCAACCCGAUGCAAACUGCGAAUACCGGAGAAUGUUAUCACGGGAGACACACGGCGGGUGCUAACGUCCGUCGUGAAGAGGGAAACAACCCAGACCGCCAGCUAAGGUCCCAAAGUCAUGGUUAAGUGGGAAACGAUGUGGGAAGGCCCAGACAGCCAGGAUGUUGGCUUAGAAGCAGCCAUCAUUUAAAGAAAGCGUAAUAGCUCACUGGUCGAGUCGGCCUGCGCGGAAGAUGUAACGGGGCUAAACCAUGCACCGAAGCUGCGGCAGCGACACUGUGUGUUGUUGGGUAGGGGAGCGUUCUGUAAGCCUGUGAAGGUGGCCUGUGAGGGUUGCUGGAGGUAUCAGAAGUGCGAAUGCUGACAUAAGUAACGAUAAAGCGGGUGAAAAGCCCGCUCGCCGGAAGACCAAGGGUUCCUGUCCAACGUUAAUCGGGGCAGGGUGAGUCGACCCCUAAGGCGAGGCCGAAAGGCGUAGUCGAUGGGAAACGGGUUAAUAUUCCCGUACUUGGUGUUACUGCGAAG
rnacentral:rRNA from 1 species